AACGAACGCUGGCGGCAGGCUUAACACAUGCAAGUCGAACGCCCCGCAAGGGGAGUGGCAGACUGGUGAGUAACGCGUGGGAACAUACCCUUUCCUGCGGAAUAGCUCCGGGAAACUGGAAUUAAUACCGCAUACGCCCUACGGGGGAAAGAUUUAUCGGGGAAGGAUUGGCCCGCGUUGGAUUAGCUAGUUGGUGGGGUAAAGGCCUACCAAGGCGACGAUCCAUAGCUGGUCUGAGAGGAUGAUCAGCCACAUUGGGACUGAGACACGGCCCAAACUCCUACGGGAGGCAGCAGUGGGGAAUAUUGGACAAUGGGCGCAAGCCUGAUCCAGCCAUGCCGCGUGAGUGAUGAAGGCCUUAGGGUUGUAAAGCUCUUUCACCGAUGAAGAUAAUGACGGUAGUCGGAGAAGAAGCCCCGGCUAACUUCGUG
rnacentral:rRNA from 1 species